rnacentral:rRNA from 1 species
UACGGAAGGGUGCAAGCGUUACUCGGAAUUACUGGGCGUAAAGCGUGCGUAGGUGGUGAGUUAAGUCUGUCGUGAAAGCCCCGGGCUCAACCUGGGAAUGGCGAUGGAUACUGGCUCGCUAGAGUGCGGUAGAGGAGAGUGGAAUUCCCGGUGUAGCAGUGAAAUGCGUAGAGAUCGGGAGGAACAUCAGUUGCGAAGGCGGCUCUCUGGACCAGCACUGACACUGAGGCACGAAAGCGUGGGGAGCAAACAGG